AGAGUGAACGCUGGCGGCAUGCCUAACACAUGCAAGUCGAACGGCAGCACAGCAGUAGCAAUACUGUGGGUGGCGAGUGGCGGACGGGUGAGGAACACAUCGGAAUUUGCCCAGUCGUGGGGGAUAACGUAGGGAAACUUACGCUAAUACCGCAUACGACCUUACGGUGAAAGCGGGGGAUCGCAAGACCUCGCGCGGAUGGAUGAGCCGAUGUCGGAUUAGCUAGUUGGUGGGUAAAGGCCUACCAAGGCGACGAUCCGUAGCUGGUCUGAGAGGAUGAUCAGCCACACUGGGACUGAGACACGGCCCAGACUCCUACGGGAGGCAGCAGUGGGGAAUAUUGGACAAUGGGGGCAACCCUGAUCCAGCAAUGCCGCGUGUGUGAAGAAGGCCUUCGGGUUGUAAAGCACUUUUAUCCGGAACGAAACGUGCGGGGUGAAUAGCCUCGUAAACUGACGGUACCGGAGGAAUAAGCACCGGCUAACUUCGUG
rnacentral:rRNA from 1 species